rnacentral:lncRNA from 1 species
CAUUAAGGGAAGCAGAUCUAGUGCAGAGGAAGACUUGAAGCAGAGCCAGGCAUUUGACUACACAUUGUGAGUCCAAAGACGACACAGCGUCCGGACACCAACCUAAUGCAAACUGGAACUUCAGGGAUUUCCGAGCUGAAUCCGCCUUUUAUGUACUUCCCAUUGCCUCCUAUUCCUCUUGCAUCUUGGCCAGCAGCUCCUUCACAACUCUCUAAUCCUCCUAUCUUCUUCCUGUAUUUCUCCUCCGUUGUCUAUGCUAUAUACUAAGCAGUUGCUGGAUGGGAGGGAAAUCAAUAUUCACAACUGUACCUCACUGUUCGAUACUGUCGCACCACUAGACUGUCCGCUGUAGCAAAUUGGAGGCCGAGAUUUCUUAGUUUUAUAUUUUGUUCCACCAGCUAGUGGGGGAAAGGCAGCUCGACACGCACUUCUCCAUAUACUCUUGUUGGGGAUUGGAUAAUGCUACUGAUCGAAGAAACUUUAUGGGAGAGAUAAACCUUGACCUCCAUAUGGAACUUCCAAAAAGAAGACUAGAGAACCGUUAGGUUAGAUCUUGGUUGGCUGCAACCAAUGCCCGAUAUAUUCUUCCCUUUUCCCACC